UUUUUUUUGGGUGAAAAGGUGUGUUUAACGUGGGUCUAAACUUGUACCAAACAUGCCUUUCUCUCUGUUUCUGCUUUACUGCCUUUACAAUCUCUCAACAAUGGAGGGGUCUGGGUGAAAAGAUUUGGAAGGUUCUCUCUCUGAGUUCACUCUUGCUGAGAUCAAAGAAAUGGGGAAAAUAUUCAAGGAUGUAGGGGAACAAUCACUGGGUCAGGAGUUUUGCCAAGAUAUUGCAACCAGCUUUAGUCACUCAGCUAGUCGUAAGGGAAAAUCUGCCAUAAAAUGGGAGCAGCUUUUUAAUUCAAACUCUACCAAUUUUCUUUGUUUUUGAAACUCUUAUAACUAUAUCGUUCUUAUUG